rnacentral:lncRNA from 1 species
CAGCAUCACCGCCCUCUGCUCACUCCGUUCAUAUUAAUUUUAAUGGAUCCGGAUUCAGUAAGGCAUCGUCGUUCCACCGUCCCACCGUCGCAGCAGCUUUCUCCUGCUAUAAAUUCCAGACUCCUCCUUGCUGCACUAAGCAAGGAGCCCGAGAGAGGUGAGGAGAGAUGGGCGGUGGACUGCUUGCUUUCUUUGGGCUGAGGAGGCAGCAGACGAGGGGGCAUGAGAAGGCAGCGGAGCCACGGCAGCGGCGGAAGGGCCAUGAACCCGAUCUGCGUCGGCCGUGGCAACCCAAAGCAGGUUCGUUCGAGGCGGAAAUGGAACCGUGGCAGCGAAAGGUUCGACGCACCGACGAAGACCACGGACGCUGGGUUUCUGGGCUCGACGUCGACAGGAAGGCCGAAGAGUUCAUCCACAGAGUCCACCGGCGGAUGAACCCUGAGCUGCUGGAAUCACUCGAGCGUUAAUCGUUAGCUUUCAGUCCUCGUGCUAUAGUAAUUGCUAUGGAGCAAAGCCAAGUUCCAUGUUUCAAGACAUCUAAGCAGAGCGUGGCAUGUGAAGACGUAGACUAUCAUCGUGCUAUUGCUAUCAAUGUAACGAUAGUAAAUUUAAUGACAGCAAUGAUUCCCUUCAUCCUGAAUCCACUGUUUUGAUUCCGAAAUUGAUGAUUCCGGUUCUUGAAUUUUCAGAACCGGAAUGAAAUCGAAUUGGGGUCGGUCUUGAACCAACAAAUCCAGAACGUAGCUCCUCACCCGGCGACUGUUCUUCCGGCUGUGCAAGUCCACGAUGACUUCACAUCCAUAGUAUAUGAGUAUACGAUUGAUCUCCUCGGGUAAUGAGUAUAAUUCAACUCAAAAUACGUCAGCGUGUCGUACGCGACGAGAAGAAACAAAAGACAUGGAGACCCACCAAUGUGCAGAAAACAUUAAUCAUCGACGGGAGAGCAUCGAGUUGGCUUCCAAUGAUCGGUCAUUGCAUGAGAUGACAUCGAUAAUUGCCUCUGCUACAGUUGACUUUGUCGCGGCGCAUAUUCUUUCGUAGGAUGUGAGCUGCUGCUGUCGUCCUCCUCUCCGUCCGUGCCCACGGUUGCAAUUGGAUAGCGUCUCGAGUCACAGCAGGCCGGAGCUUUUCUUUACUCCCUUGUGUUUGUAUGCGGGAGGAUGACGAAGAACGAUUCCCUGCACGCCUUCG